rnacentral:rRNA from 1 species
ACAGCAGUAGCCGCGGGAAUACGUAGGGUGCGAGCGUUAAUCGGAAUUACUGGGCGUAAAGCGUGCGCAGGCGGUUAUAUAAGACAGAUGUGAAAUCCCCGGGCUCAACCUGGGACCUGCAUUUGUGACUGUAUAGCUAGAGUACGGUAGAGGGGGAUGGAAUUCCGCGUGUAGCAGUGAAAUGCGUAGAUAUGCGGAGGAACACCGAUGGCGAAGGCAAUCCCCUGGACCUGUACUGACGCUCAUGCACGAAAGCGUGGGGAGCAAACAGGAUUAGAUACCCCAGUAGUCCCUGUCUCUUAUAC